rnacentral:rRNA from 1 species
AUUGAACGCUGGCGGCAUGCCUUACACAUGCAAGUCGAACGGCAGCACGGGGGCAACCCUGGUGGCGAGUGGCGAACGGGUGAGUAAUACAUCGGAACGUGCCCAAUAGUGGGGGAUAGCUCGGCGAAAGCCGGAUUAAUACCGCAUAAGACCUGAGGGUGAAAGCGGGGGAUCGCAAGACCUCGCGCUAAUGGAGCGGCCGAUGUCAGAUUAGGUAGUUGGUGGGGUAAAGGCCCACCAAGCCGACGAUCUGUAGCUGGUCUGAGAGGACGACCAGCCACACUGGGACUGAGACACGGCCCAGACUCCUACGGGAGGCAGCAGUGGGGAAUUUUGGACAAUGGGCGAAAGCCUGAUCCAGCCAUGCCGCGUGCGGGAAGAAGGCCUUCGGGUUGUAAACCGCUUUUGUCAGGGAAGAAAUGUUCCGGGCUAAUACCCUGGGAAGAUGACGGUACCUGAAGAAUAAGCACCGGCUAACUACGUGCCAGCAGCCGCGGUAAGAC